AACGUGUCUAGCAUGGCCAGA
rnacentral:siRNA from 1 species